rnacentral:rRNA from 1 species
UACAGAGGUCUCAAGCGUUGUUCGGAUUCAUUGGGCGUAAAGGGUGCGUAGGCGGCGCGGUAAGUCGGGUGUGAAAUCUCGGAGCUUAACUCCGAAACUGCAUUCGAUACUGCCGUGCUUGAGGACUGGAGAGGAGACUGGAAUUCAUGGUGUAGCAGUGAAAUGCGUAGAGAUCAUGAGGAAGACCAGUGGCGAAGGCGGGUCUCUGGACAGUUCCUGACACUGAGACACGAAGGCCCAGGGGAGCAAAACGGG